CACAAAGUACAGUUCGGCACACCAACAAUUAAAUACACUCCCGUGGAUAGUUCAAAAAUAUAUUUAAUUCAAUCGAAACUACAUUGUUUGAAGUCACCUUUGGCACCUGCAGAUCCUUGUUGAAGCGCAUCCCGGUCUGUGUCUCUAUGUCCUAUAAGCUUACACGAUGAUCGCACAAUUUGCCAACUGAUUCGGCCUAUCCAGCGGCUCCAGCGGCUUCGCCCCAGCACGCCCUUCCACAGCUGCUAAGGGCGCAGGUUUCUGGUUACUACGCAUACCUGAGGCCGAAGAGGAACCACCGGAUAUAUGUAGCUUCUGGCGAUUGGCUGAUCCCCCUUGAUCGCAUUGAAUAGCUUCUCGAUGGAUACCUCCUGCUGCAGAAAGCACCGAAAACGAAGCCAGUGAUUCCAAACAGAACGUACCUGGCAAUACCUUGGGGUUCUGUCAUGGUGUUUAGGUCUUCAAUUGUUGACCAACUAACACUAAUAUUAACAUUAAUUUAAAAAGCGCUUAUUAACUGUCGAAUUUUUCCGAGAAAAUGUAUUUUUCUAACAGUAUGUCUAGGUGUAGGUUCUAUUGCAUUAUGAAACAUAAUAUAUUAUAAAAUAAAAUACUAUUCUUGAGAAAA